GAUUAACGCUGGCGGCGUGCAUAACACAUGCAAGUCGAACGAUGAAACUUAAAUGAUUUCUUCGGAAUGAACUUAAGUGGAUUAGUGGCGGACGGGUGAGUAACGCGUGAGUAACCUGCCUUACACAAGGGGAUAGCCGUUGGAAACGACGAAUAAUACCCUAUGAAACUAUCACUUCGCAUGAAGCGAUAGUCAAAGUGUUAGCGGUGUAAGAUGGACUUGCGUCUGAUUAGCUAGUUGGUGAGAAAAAAGCCCACCAAGGCAACGAUCAGUAGCCGGCUUGAGAGAGUGUACGGCCACAUUGGGACUGAGACAAGGCCCAGACUCCUACGGGAGGCAGCAGUGGGGAAUUUUGCACAAUGGGGGAAACCCUGAUGCAGCGACGCCGCGUGAUUUAGAAGGCCUUCGGGUUGUAAAAAUCUUUUGUAUAGGAAGAAAAUGACAGUACUAUACGAAUAAGGUCCGGCUAAUUACGUG
rnacentral:rRNA from 1 species